UAGAGUCUCCGGUUUCCCAGCACUGUUCUCAUCGAAAAAACUGAGCGCUUGCUGGAGACACGGACUCUCAGGGUAAAUGAGGCAGCUUACAAAAACCACACCACUCUUAACUUCUCAAGAGAGACAGAUGCACUCGAAACCAUUCUCAAGACUCUCUUAAUGUGUCUCUUCAAAGGAGACAAAAGUAUAAGAGCAGCAAUUACGAAGGGAGACUUCAGCUGCAGCACCUCUGUUGACUUUGUGCGGAGUGUGGUCGGGGUUGCAGCUCAUCAUGUCUAAUCCCCCCUGCAGCCAUCUGGUUUCCAUGGUGUUAGCCUGUGGCAGCUCCUGGGGAGGUGACCUAUUACUGUGGAUGGGGACCAGCUACAAAUGACAAUGACCUGAGGGUGGCACUCAGAAAAAUCCCUGUCAUUUCUUCGAUCGGCCUGACCUGUCAUUUGGCCUGCAGGGAGAUUAAAGCCAUCAGUCUUGCAGAAAAACUCAUCUUCAGGUGGUAAUGACUUUUCUGCACCUUUUAAUAAAUGCAACCAGGAGGAAUUGGAUGAUAUUCUCAGUCAAUAAAAGUGAUCAGAUUCUGAAAUACAACUUAUGUUUACCUGUUAUUUAGUAGUUCUUUAGCUGUAUAUGUAAAACUCAUCAAACCACCGCUUCUGCUGUCUGCUGGCUCCAUGUGGGAGGUCAGCUUAGUAACCUAACUCCACCUCAGCCCUGUGUGAAGGAGGUGGGCCAAGAUAAGGGACUAUAAGGAAGCAUUCAAGGGAAUUUGACAUGGUUUGUUGGAGGGCUAA